ACAUAUUAUAUAUAUAUAUAAAGUAAAACAAAAGAAAAACAAAUGAAAAAUAAAAGAUAGAAAAGAAACAGAAUGAAACGAAACAGAGAGCAAGGAAGGAAAGAAAAGAAAGAAAGGGAGAAAAGGGAAAUUUUAGAUUUCAAGGUUUGAAAGUUUAAUUGUCAAUGUGGUACCGGAAAUCUCGGCUAAGAAAGGACAAGACAAAGUCAACGG